rnacentral:rRNA from 1 species
UGCAAGUCGAACGGAAGUUUAAGCAAUUAAACUUUAGUGGCGAACGGGUGAGUAACGCGUAAGCAAUCUGCCCCUAAGACGAGGAUAACAGUUGGAAACGACUGCUAAGACUGGAUAGGAGACAAGAAGGCAUCUUCUUGUUUUUAAAAGACCUAGCAAUAGGUAUGCUUAGGGAGGAGCUUGCGUCACAUUAGUUAGUUGGUGGGGUAAAGGCCUACCAAGACUAUGAUGUGUAGCCGGGCUGAGAGGUUGAACGGCCACAUUGGGACUGAGACACGGCCCAAACUCCUACGGGAGGCAGCAGUAGGGAAUUUUCGGCAAUGGAGGAAACUCUGACCGAGCAACGCCGCGUGAACGAUGAAGUAUUUCGGUACGUAAAGUUCUUUUAUUAGGGAAGAAUAAAUGAUGGAAAAAUCAUUCUGACGGUACCUAAUGAAUAAGCCCCGGCUAACUAUGUGCCAGCAGCCGCGGUAAUACAUAGGGGGCAAGCGUUAUCCGGAAUUAUUGGGCGUAAAGGGUGCGUAGGCGGUUAAAUAAGUUUAUGGUCUAAGUGCAAUGCUCAACAUUGUGAUGCUAUAAAAACUGUUUAGCUAGAGUAAGAUAGAGGCAAGUGGAAUUCCAUGUGUAGUGGUAAAAUGCGUAAAUAUAUGGAGGAACACCAGUAGCGAAGGCGGCUUGCUGGGUCUUUACUGACGCUGAGGCACGAAAGCGUGGGGAGCAAACAGGAUUAGAUACCCUGGUAGUCCACGCCGUAAACGAUGAGUACUAAACGUUGGGUAAAACCAGUGUUGAAGUUAACACAUUAAGUACUCCGCCUGAGUAGUACGUACGCAAGUAUGAAACUUAAAGGAAUUGACGGGACUCCGCACAAGCGGUGGAUCAUGUUGUUUAAUUCGAAGGUACCCGAAAAACCUCACCAGGUCUUGACAUGCUUCUGCAAAGCUGUAGAAACACAGUGGAGGUUAUCAGUUGCACAGGUGGUGCAUGGUUGUCGUCAGCUCGUGUCGUGAGAUGUUGGGUUAAGUCCCGCAACGAGCGCAACCCUUAUUGUUAGUUACCAGCACGUAAUGGUGGGGACUUUAGCAAGACUGCCAGUGAUAAAUUGGAGGAAGGUGGGGACGACGUCAAAUCAUCAUGCCCCUUAUGACCUGGGCUACAAACGUGAUACAAUGGCUGUUACAAAGGGUAGCUGAAGCGCAAGUUUUUGGCGAAUCUCAAAAAAACAGUCUCAGUUCGGAUUGAAGUCUGCAACUCGACUUCAUGAAGUUGGAAUCGCUAGUAAUCGCGAAUCAGCAUGUCGCGGUGAAUACGUUCUCGGGGUUUGUACACACCGCCCGUCAAACCACGAAAGUUGGCAAUACCCAAAGCCGGUGGCCUAACUUCGCAAGAAGAGGGAACCGUCUAAGGUAGGGUCGAUGAUUGGGGUUAAG